AGAUGUGAGGUCGAUCUGGCUGCAACAUCUGUCACCCCACUGAUUGCCAGGAUUGAUUCAGCUGAUCUGGCUGGCUAGGUGGUGUCCCCUUUUUCCCUCACUACUCCACGUGCAUCCCUCCCGAAGCUACAUGCUCAGUCGAAGAGGAUGACCUUCCCCAAAUGGAGGAGGACCAGUCUUUGGUCAAGGGUGUAUGAGAAGCUGUGCGCUCUCCUGCUAGAGCCUUCAAACAAGCUCUCAAAAAUAGUCAUUUCAUUUUUCAGCUAGGAAAAAUUCAAAGGCAGAAGGAUCCAGACUUCAAGGCCUGUCUGGGCUACAUAGUGAGAUUUUUGU
rnacentral:snRNA from 1 species